UUGUGGAGAUGCUCAUGGGGCCCGUUU
rnacentral:piRNA from 1 species